rnacentral:rRNA from 1 species
UACAGAGGUGGCGAGCGUUAUUCGGAAUUAUUGGGCGUAAAGGGCGCGUAGGCGGCCUUCUAAGUCGAACGUGAAAUCCCCGGGCUCAACCCGGGAACUGCGUCCGAUACUGGGAGGCUUGAAUCCGGGAGAGGGAUGUGGAAUUCCAGGUGUAGCGGUGAAAUGCGUAGAUAUCUGGAGGAACACCGGUGGCGAAGGCGGCAUCCUGGACCGGUAUUGACGCUGAGGCGCGAAAGCCAGGGGAGCAAACGGG